rnacentral:rRNA from 1 species
UACAGAGGUCCCGAGCGUUGUUCGGAUUCACUGGGCGUAAAGGGUGCGUAGGUGGCAAGGUAAGUCUGAUGUGAAAGCCCGGGGCUCACCCCCGGAAGUGCAUUGGAAACUGGUGGACUCGAGUCCCGGAGAGGAGAGUGGAAUUCCUGGUGUAGCGGUGAAAUGCGUAGAUAUCAGGAGGAACACCGGUGGCGAAGGCGGCUCUCUGGACGGUGACUGACGCUGAGACGCGAAAGCGUGGGGAGCAAACAGG